GGCUGCAGUCUCCGCUUUCAGUCAGAGGGUGCGCACCAUGUUCCAGCCGGAGAGGCUCAUGGUGCCGGGGAGGCGUGGUUUGCGAACGGAGCGUCAACGCUCAGUCACCGGGCUGCUGCUCUGCAGUUGACCCAAAGCUGACUGACAAGGACUACAGGAAGACUGGAGGAAGGCAUCAAGGAUCCAAAGUGACAUCAAACUUGGAUUACCCCAACUCAUACUGUUUCCCUGGUUCAUAGAGUACCAGACUUAACCUCAUGGAUGCUGUUCUUCCAUGAAACAAUAGAAUUUUGUUCUGUCAGCCAAAAAUGAGUCAAAUAUGUCUCCAUUUCUAUGCUUGUUUUAAUAAAUUGUAAUAUUAAUGCCAUGUUGCAAAUUCUAAGUUGUGUACACAACUUUUUGGAAAUAUGUUAAUGUCAGAAAAUUUUGAACUACAUAAUGCCCAUCGUCUGCCAACACAAUUGUGUGUUUAACACCAGUAAGGAAACUUUUAAUGGUAUGUUAUGAUAUAGACCAGAAAUGCCCAAAGUUGGUCCUCGAGGGCCAGCAUCCUGCAUGUUUCAGUUCUCUCCCUGUUGGCAAUAACAACCUUUUCAGCAUGUCAAUGUUCCUCUUAGACCUUCUAAUGAGCCAUUAUUUGAUCCAGGUGGCAAAUGAUGAAACAGAGAUAGAACUAAAACAUGCAGGACGCAUGUUUUUUGGACACCACUGAUGUAGAGCUAUCAGACCAAAAAUGGACAUGAAUCAGUAUCGAUCCUUCAACUUUGAUUCAAUACAAAAUCAACACAAAUGUGCAUGCAGAUCCACUUUCAGAUGAUGGCUGACUCAACAUUGAUAUUGUGUCAGUUAUGGUUGAAACCCUAAUGUUGAUUCAACAUGCAAGUCACCGACCACUUUCAAAAUCAUUUCAGUGUCAGGCUUCAACGUGGAUUCAGUGUUUCUGUCUAACUAUAUUUUAACAUUGAUUCACUCAUACUUUUCUGUCUGUCCAUCUAGUGCAGAACUAGCUUCAGAUUCCUUAUCAUGGAGGUAAUUCUGAUUUUCAACUAUUAUUUAUUGCUUUUUGUGGUUAGUUUUCUAUCUCUAUACCAAUUACAACAUAAACCGUUAGAAGACAAGAUGAUUAUGUGUGAGAGAAUUUAAGCUGGAGCUGAAUUGGAAACGGGUUUCUGCCCUUUAACACAGUGACAGUGGAGUGAUUUAAAGAGCAGUUGUGAAAUAAAAUAAAGCUCCUUAAAACAUGU